UAAGGAGACAGGCAGACAAUGUUCUUUGUGUAAAUCCAAUAUGUUUUAUUAGAUUAACUCAAAUAGUUGGAAAAAUUCUUUUUAGCAAGGCUUUGGACACAAACACCCUUUGUAAA